UACAGAGGUCUCAAGCGUUGUUCGGAUUCACUGGGUUUAAAGGGUGCGUAGGUGGGUUGGUAAGUCAGUGGUGAAAUCUCCAGGCUUAACUUGGAAACUGCCAUUGAUACUAUCAAUCUUGAAUACCGUGGAGGUCAGCGGAAUAUGUCAUGUAGCGGUGAAAUGCUUAGAUAUGACAUAGAACACCAAUUGCGAAGGCAGCUGGCUACACGAAUAUUGACACUGAUGCACGAAAGCGUGGGGAUCAAACAGG
rnacentral:rRNA from 1 species